CCGGGAGGGGAGAGAGAACGAGUGUGACCAUAGCAGAACCCUCCAGGCAGCUUGGAGCCUGGCCAACCUCUCCCAGCUCCUGGGCCGCCUCACCUGAAUGACAUGGUGAACCACACACCCAUCAUCAUCAGGGUGAUGCGUCGAUACUCCGGACCAAAACACGAGAGGAAAUUCCCCCAAACCUACAAGCGGCUCAAGGCUCGGACUCCCCAGCGCUGAUACCAGGUCCCUGUGUCUGACUGGAUUUCAAUCAGCUCAUCUUCCUGAUGAAUCGUCUUAAUGUGGGUGACCUAGGGCAAAGAGAAAUAGCCUGUAUUUCCCCCAACGCCCUCCACAUGAU